GUGCUCUCUCUGGCAGCAUGUAGGUUAACAAUUGGAAUCACAGAGAGAUUAGCAUGGCUCUUGCCGAGGAUGACAUGUAAAUUCAUGAAACAUUCCAUAUUUAA
rnacentral:snRNA from 1 species